UUCGAUUUUCGCAUUGCACGAAAGGGGAAAGAUUAAUCGGCAAAUGAUCGGCCCGCGUUGGAUUAGCUAGUUGGUGGGGUAAAGGCCUACCAAGGCGACGAUCCAUAGCUGGUCUGAGAGGAUGAUCAGCCACACUGGGACUGAGACACGGCCGAGACUCCUACGGGAGGCAGCAGUGGGGAAUAUUGGACAAUGGGCGCAAGCCUGAUCCAGCCAUGCCGCGUGAGUGAUGAAGGCCCUAGGGUUGUAAAGCUCUUUCACCGGUGAAGAUAAUGACGGUAACCGGAGAAGAAGCCCCGGCUAACUUCGUGCCAGCAGCCGCGGUAAUACGAAGGGGGCUAGCGUUGUUCGGAUUUACUGGGCGUAAAGCGCACGUAGGCGGGCACUAAGUAGAGGGGUUGGGUGAAAUCCCGGGGCUCAACCCCGGAACUGCCUUUGAUACUGUUAGUCUUGAGUAUGGUAGAGGUGAGUGGUAUUCCGAGUGUAGAGGUGAAAUUCGUAGAUAUUCGGAGGAACACCAGUGGCCAAGGCGGCUCACUGGACCAUUACUGACGCUGACG
rnacentral:rRNA from 1 species